UACGUAGGGGGCAAGCGUUGUCCGGAAUUAUUGGGCGUAAAGCGCGCGCAGGCGGUUUUUUAAGUCUGGGGUUUAAGUUCGGGGCUCAACCCCGUAUCGCCCUGGAAACUGGGAGACUUAGAGUGCAGGAGAGGAAAGUGGAAUUCCACGUGUAGCGGUGAAAUGCGUAGAGAUGUGGAGGAACACCAGUGGCGAAGGCGACUUUCUGGCCUGUAACUGACGCUGAGGCGCGAAAGCGUGGGGAGCAAACAGG
rnacentral:rRNA from 1 species